AUAUGUAUAUACUUGUUAACUCUGUGUGGGGAGGGUGGGAGGAGACAUGGAUGUCUAAUGUUUACAUAUAUCUAUAGGUCCUCCCCUCCCCCCGCCCCAAAUGUGAUCAUCUCAAGCUUGCUGCAUUUAGUUACCAAAUUUGGGACAUCUAUCCAUAAAGAUAAUCCAUUCAAGCACAUUUAAAAAUUCUUUGUUUGCUAACAGAUGAGGGCAGAUUGGCAUUAGCAGUGUUAGGGCAGGGAGUUGUCCUUAGGACCCCUAAAUACUUAACCUGUAUAAGUGAAUUGAAAAGGACAAGACUAGCAAUAUAAGAGACUAAGUGUAGGGGGCAGGCAUGGUGAUAAAAGCAGAUGAAACCAUUUGAUGCUGUGGAGAUGUCUGUCUGUGUCUUGAACCUUGCUUGGGUCAGUAAUUACAUCACUUCCAAAUUAAGUUUUAAAGACGCCCUGUGGUUGCUGGAGGCUGUUGUGUGAGUACAGCUUUCUAGUGGAUAACAAUGGGCAAGAGAAAUCCUUUGAUUUAUGCAUGGGAGCUGUUUCUUCUCAGAAGCUGCCAUAGCCCGGUCAUUGGCACAUUAUUUAAAAAAAAAAAAC
rnacentral:lncRNA from 1 species